GACGAACGCUGGCGGCGUGCCUAAUACAUGCAAGUAGAACGCUGAAGAGAGGAGCUUGCUCUUCUUGGAUGAGUUGCGAACGGGUGAGUAACGCGUAGGUAACCUGCCUUGUAGCGGGGGAUAACUAUUGGAAACGAUAGCUAAUACCGCAUAACAAUGGAUGACACAUGUCAUUUAUUUGAAAGGGGCAAUUGCUCCACUACAAGAUGGACCUGCGUUGUAUUAGCUAGUAGGUGAGGUAACGGCUCACCUAGGCGACGAUACAUAGCCGACCUGAGAGGGUGAUCGGCCACAAUGGGACUGAGACCCGGCCCAGACUCCUACGGGAGGCAGCAGUAGGGAAUCUUCGUCAAUGGGGGCAACCCUGACCGAGCAACGCCGCGUGAGUGAAGAAGGUUUUCGGAUCGUAAAGCUCUGUUGUAAGUCAAGAACGAGUGUGAGAGUGGAAAGUUCACACUGUGACGGUAGCUUACCAGAAAGGGACGGCUAACUACGUG
rnacentral:rRNA from 1 species